CAGCCUCCCAAAGUGCUGGGAUUACAAGCAUGAGCCACCGUGCCCGGCCUGUCCCCACUUUAUGAAGGAGGAAUCGAAGCCUCAGGAAGGCUAAGACACCUCCCAGAGUCACAGGUCUGACCAAAAAGAAAACUGACUCCAUCCACUUGGAUUCCCUCUGAGAAGUCUUCCCAACUGACCGAAAGAUGAGGCUAGGCUCUAGCAAGUCGACGUCAAACCGGCUCCUUCAAGAAGCUUUGAGCAGAAUGGAAGUGGGGAAGACGCAGCUUCCAGCCCGGACAGCCCGUUAUACCUGGAGCCAUCUGGGAUAGGAUUUUGACCCAUGGCUCUCAGAUUCUCAACCUGUCCAUCUGGGCCCAUCCCAGUUUAUCCUGUAUCAUUUGAGCUGGGAGUCCCACAUUCUCUGAGAUGGAAGUCCCAUCUCAAGUCUUCAAUAAAGACUCUUGAAUAUUGAAUCACA